CAGUAGCCGCGGGAAUACGUAGGUCCCGAGCGUUGUCCGGAUUUAUUGGGCGUAAAGCGAGCGCAGGCGGUUAGAUAAGUCUGAAGUUAAAGGCUGUGGCUUAACCAUAGUACGCUUUGGAAACUGUUUAACUUGAGUGCAAGAGGGGAGAGAGGAAUUCCAUGUGUAGCGGUGAAAUGCGUAGAUAUAUGGAGGAACACCGGUGGCGAAAGCGGCUCUCUGGCUUGUAACUGACGCUGAGGCUCGAAAGCGUGGGGAGCAAACAGGAUUAGAUACCCCUGUAGUCCCUGUCUCUUAUACU
rnacentral:rRNA from 1 species